rnacentral:rRNA from 1 species
AUUGAACGCUGGCGGCAUGCCUUACACAUGCAAGUCGAACGGCAGCACGGGUGCUUGCACCUGGUGGCGAGUGGCGAACGGGUGAGUAAUACAUCGGAACGUACCUUAUCGUGGGGGAUAACGCAGCGAAAGCUGUGCUAAUACCGCAUACGCCCUGAGGGGGAAAGCGGGGGAUCGCAAGACCUCGCGCGAUUAGAGCGGCCGAUGCCUGAUUAGCUAGUUGGUGGGGUAAAAGCCCACCAAGGCGACGAUCAGUAGCUGGUCUGAGAGGACGAUCAGCCACACUGGGACUGAGACACGGCCCAGACUCCUACGGGAGGCAGCAGUGGGGAAUUUUGGACAAUGGGGGCAACCCUGAUCCAGCAAUGCCGCGUGAGUGAAGAAGGCCUUCGGGUUGUAAAGCUCUUUUGUCAGGGAAGAAACACCGGCUCUAACACAGUUCGGGAAUGACGGUACCUGAAGAAUAAGCACCGGCUAACUACGUA